GGCAUGGCGGCGUGCUAUACAUGCAAGUCGAGCGAGCAGAACCAGCAGAUUUACUUCGGUAAUGACGCUGGGGACGCGAGCGGCGGAUGGGUGAGUAACACGUGGGGAACCUGCCCCAUAGUCUGGGAUACCACUUGGAAACAGGUGCUAAUACCGGAUAAGAAAGCAGAUCGCAUGAUCAGCUUAUAAAAGGCGGCGUAAGCUGUCGCUAUGGGAUGGCCCCGCGGUGCAUUAGCUAGUUGGUAAGGUAACGGCUUACCAAGGCAAUGAUGCAUAGCCGAGUUGAGAGACUGAUCGGCCACAUUGGGACUGAGACACGGCCCAAACUCCUACGGGAGGCAGCAGUAGGGAAUCUUCCACAAUGGACGCAAGUCUGAUGGAGCAACGCCGCGUGAGUGAAGAAGGUUUUCGGAUCGUAAAGCUCUGUUGUUGGUGAAGAAGGAUAGAGGUAGUAACUGGCCUUUAUUUGACGGUAAUCAACCAGAAAGUCACGGCUAACUACGUGCCAGCAGCCGCGGUAAUACGUAGGUGGCAAGCGUUGUCCGGAUUUAUUGGGCGUAAAGCGAGCGCAGGCGGAAGAAUAAGUCUGAUGUGAAAGCCCUCGGCUUAACCGAGGAACUGCAUCGGAAACUGUUUUUCUUGAGUGCAGAAGAGGAGAGUGGAACUCCAUGUGUAGCGGUGGAAUGCGUAGAUAUAUGGAAGAACACCAGUGGCGAAGGCGACUCUCUGGUCUGCAACUGACGCUGAGGCUCGAAAGCAUGGGUAGCGAACAGGAUUAGAUACCCUGGUAGUCCAUGCCGUAAACGAUGAGUGCUAAGUGUUGGGAGGUUUCCGCCUCUCAGUGCUGCAGCUAACGCAUUAAGCACUCCGCCUGGGGAGUACGACCGCAAGGUUGAAACUCAAAGGAAUUGACGGGGGCCCGCACAAGCGGUGGAGC
rnacentral:rRNA from 1 species